rnacentral:lncRNA from 1 species
GGAAGCGGCUGGGCGGGCAGCCCUCCUCCCGCCAUUGGUGGGCGCCCCUCUCUCCCGGGGAGCCCGAGGAGGCGCCGAUUGGCUGCCGGCGCUUGUCAGUCGGCGAGGGCCGAGUUCCAUUGUUGGCUGGGCGUGCGGCGUGAAUCGCUGCUGCUGCUGCUGCCGCGGCGGCUGGUGCAGCUGCGGGGAGAGCGGGGCUGGCGGCGCGGCGGCGGCGGAGGGAGAAGGGAUGCUGGCGGAAUGGGCGGCCGGGCAGGAAAGCGGCGAGCGGGAGCCGGAACUCCGCUGAGAAGCGUCCGCGCUGCUGCUGCCAGUCAAGGGAAGGACGUGAGCCGAGCCCCGCCGACAACCACAGCGGCUGGAGACAGACAGACAGACAGGUCAUGUAUCCACAGCAGUGACCAGUGGAGGAAUGACCACUGGGAGGAGCACAGAGAAGAAACGCCGUGGUGCAUCUGCAGCAGCACGACCAGAAACAUUCAUCUGCUCCAGCUGCAACAAAAUGUGUCUCUAUCAGUCUCUACAGCCACAAGAGGCACUGCAACCUUCCAAUAGUUUGAUUUCAUCCGCAAAGGUGCAAUCCUCCAUUUACUCCCAAGAUAGAAAGAUGCCAACACAUUUAUGUUGUGGCCCAUCCAAUACAUUCUCACUAGACCAGGGUUUCCCAAACAUGGGUCUCCAGCUGUUGUUGGACUACAGCUCCCAUCAUCCUAGUUAGCAGGAGUAGUUGGCAAGGAUGGUGGGUGUUGUAGCCCCAAAACAGCUGGAGACCCAAGUUUGGUAAACCCUGCACUAGACUAUCUCCACCCCCCAUAAAUGCAGAUAUGUCCAUGUCAAGGCAUUGCAUUAUAUAUUUUAUUUCCCUACCCCUUGAAUGUCGUGGGCUGGAGAAAACAUAUUCUGAUGUUGUAAAGCAUGGGAAACGUGCAUUGCAUAAGAUGGAGUGUUGCUGCAUAUCGUGAAUGAUUGAGACAAAUGGGGUGAGCUCCCAUUGCUCUGUCCCAGCUCCUGCCAACCUAGCAUGCCAGUGUGAGUAGAUAAAUAGGUACUGCUGUGGCGGGGAGGUAAACGGCAUUUCCGUGCAUUCUGCUUCCAUCACACUGUUCCGUUGCACCAGAAGCGGUUUAGUCAUGCUGGCCACUUGACCUAGAAAAUUGUCUGUGGACAAACGCCAGCCUGAAGUGAGAUGAGUGUCACACCCCAUAGUCACCUUUGACUGUACUUAGCCAUCCAGGGGUCCUCCCCCCCCCCAUUUUUUUUUUACUACAGUUGGAGGGAACUUUUGAUCCUCCAGAUGUUGCUCCCAUCAGCUUCAGGAAGCAUGGCCAAUGGCCAGGGAUGACAGUUGUGGAAACAAGGGUUCCGCACUCCCACUCCACCACAAUGCUAAGAGGUACCAUAACCAUAGCACACUUCUCUGGCAGCUCAGAGCACAGCCGUGGCAGGAGAGAUAGCAGGAAUAUCUAGCACAAAAAUUGCUUUCCAAGGCAGCACAGCAACUGCAACAUCCAAUGAAGAAAAGAAGGCAGCAGAGUUAAUUAAAAAUAAAAGCAAAGCCACACUGAGCUAGGAAAUACCAUAAACUGAAACUGGUUUGGAGUGAGAAUAAAAAGGUGUGGGAGGCAAUUAACUUAGAAAUACCUCAAUUUCAGAGGAAUAAUUUGUUACAAUGUCUUGUUGUUGGAGCGGGUUAAUUUAAAAAUGGCAGACUAAUCCACAUCUUCAUUUGAGGACUGGGUUUUGGUUUUUUUGCUGGAAAGAGAUAAGUUGACAUCAAUGAGGAUUGUUUUCAAAUCUGUUUGGCUGUAGCAACAGUAAUAAAUAUUUACAGGUGGCCUACUUUUGGGAUUGCAAAGUAUACCUUCACAGACCUAGAUUUGUCAAGAUUCAUGCAAAACACACAUAAUUUCAGACAGGGUUGCUGGAAGUCAAGCUAUUCAAAUAAGAUGUGUAAAUCUGCUAAGUGAUAUUUAUCUUUUCCGAUUGCUCUUUGUCUUGAGCGUCGCGAGGUUUUUCUGGAUGGAAAAGCAAUCUGCAAAAAGGGAAGAGCGCUUCUAAAUUCCGUAGUAGGACAGCUUGCCAGCAACCACUUAAAAUUGGAGUGAUCAAACAGAAAGAUGAAAACAUCCUCCCAACCCUACCUCACCAGUGGAUAAUUCCACAAUGUGUAAACACAUCUUAACGCAACAGACACCACUUCACUUUUUUUAAAUAGAGAGUGACCCAGUUACUGAAGGAGAAAGACCUUGGAUUUAAAAAGCAGACAACCAGUCAUGUUUUUGCUUAUGAAUCAUCUUCACAGAAGUUGUUUUAGGGUAUCCGGUUUUGAGGGAAGCAUGAGAGGCAGAGGCACGCCAAAUUUUAGUCACACAGGGUGCCACUGAAAAUUGAGAGACAAAGUCCACCACUGCUCUUUAUACCACUUAAAUUUGUGUUGUCAGUUUGAAUAUUUGGUCAGUUUCGGCACUGGUUGUUUGGUGAGUGUGCCCAGUUCCACGCUCAAAUUGUAUAGGUGCCUGGUGGGGAGAAACAUACAUUUGCCUCCUGACACAAGGCCUUUGAGAGAGCUUUCUGAACUUCUCACUCAUUCUGCUAACGCUGAACUAUUCCAAAUACACCAUGGUUAUGAUACCUUGGUAGAAUAUUUGUUAUUCCCCCACCCAAUCCUUCUUUUUAAAACCUCUUUAAACAGUAAAUCAUGCAGUUGUCAAGAUUAAAAAAUAAAUAAUUUAUUUCUGUUGUUGUUUUGGAUUGCAAACAAGGGCACUCUGCCCCCUUUUCACUCUGCAUAGCUAUUUAAUGUUAAUACAAAACAUCAAAGGGAUGAAUUUUAAAGAAUUAAAAUUUUCUACCUGCUGCAGCACUAGUGACAUUUUCCAAAGAGCAAAACUUGAAUAAAUAAAAUAAAUGUGGAAUAAAUCUGCAUGGAAUGUGGCACUGGAGAAAUAGCAUCUGCCUCUGUAUGAGAAGAAUGAAAAAAGGACUAGGCUGGAAGAGUAAACAGCAUUUGCACAGAGGUGAAAAAUAUUCGAGAGAGAGAGAGAGAAUAUCUCAUGCAUAUGCACUUAUUUACUUAUUUUUAAAAGUAUGUUAUAUCCCCUUUCAAGGCAAUUUACAAAUAACACAUGUAAAACAAAAACAUUGUAAAAUACAGUUAACUGAGCAUCAGCAUUAGUGUUCUACUUCAAUACAACCCAAAAAUUACAAGCAGCAGUUGAAACUACAGCUUUUUCAAAGAUGUAAAUCAGCAGACUUUAUUCAAUUAAAAGUGGACAGAAGUCUCCAGAUCUUUAAGGCCAAUUUAAAAGUAGUCAGGGAGUGGGCCUGACAGACUUUCCCAUGGGAGGGCAUUGCAUAAGGAUGGAGGCAGGGAGAGGGGAGGACAAGUCUGGAGUCUAGUGGCAAGCCAUAGCUCAGUUGGUAGAGCGUGAGACUCUUAAUCUCAGGGUUGUGUGUUCGAACCCCACGUUGGGCAAAAGAGUUGGUUCCUUCCAACUCUACAAUUCUGUGAUUCUAAGCUUUUGAAUAGGGGCUUUGUGGCUGAUUUUAGGAUGCAGGCAGGCUGAUGCAAAGGUGUGUGUUUGUGUGGAGAGAGACAGAAGGGAAAACAAAAUUAUGCUAGGUAAACAUCUCAGAAGAGAUAAAUGUAAAUGACAUAGGAGAACUUGCAGACUGUGGAUUCAAAGUGUUGAAGUUGAAUGACAAAGUUACCUCAGAGGAUUGCGGGUAGGAGGAAGAAAAAAUAAAAACUAGAAAAUAAAAAAGAAGUGAUGUGAGGGAAUAUCAGUAAAGUGUGUCUGAGGAACUAAGACGA